UGGCACCUAGAAGAAAAAGAGGACUUUAGC
rnacentral:piRNA from 1 species